ACUCCUACGGGAGGCAGCAGUCGGGAAUUUUGCACAAUGGGCGAAAGCCUGAUGCAGCAACGCCGCGUGAGGGAUGAAGGCCUUCGGGUUGUAAACCUCUUUUCUCAGGGAAGAUAAUGACGGUACCUGAGGAAUAAGCCACGGCUAACUACGUGCCAGCAGCCGCGGUAAUACGUAGGAGGCGAGCGUUAUCCGGAUUUACUGGGCG
rnacentral:rRNA from 1 species